GCGGCCGCGGCGGCUCAUGAUGUGCCUGGAGAGCGACGGCUCGUCGAGCGGCGGCCCGCCGGGCUGCAGCGGGCGCCUCCGGGUCUCGGCCGCGGCCGGCGCGGGCGACGACGACGACGAGGACGACGGAGGAGGAGGAGGAAGCAGCGGCGACCGCGGCUGCUGCGGGCGGAGCGGCGAGGUGCAGACCCUGUCGGGCGCCGUCCACGCGCCCCAGGGCGGCGCCGACAAGGCAGCGGCGGCGGCCGCGGGCGCCGCGCCUCCCAGCCUGGGCAGAGCGCGCGUGGCGGCCGCCGCCAUCCUCAGCGUGGGGAACGUCCUCAACUACCUGGACAGGUACACCGUGGCAGGUGUUUUGCUAGACAUUCAGCAACAUUUCGGAGUCAAGGACAGCGGAGCCGGCUUGCUGCAGACAGUUUUCAUCUGCAGCUUCAUGGUAGCAGCCCCAAUAUUCGGCUACCUGGGUGACCGUUUCAACAGGAAAAUUAUUCUCAGCUGCGGCAUUUUCUUCUGGUCGGCCAUCACCUUUUCCAGCUCCUUCAUCACUGAGCAGUAUUUCUGGCUGUUUGUCCUCUCGCGGGGUUUGGUCGGCAUUGGCGAAGCCAGCUACUCCACCAUUGCGCCCACCAUCAUCGGAGAUCUCUUCACCAAAAACACCCGGACCCUCAUGCUCUCCGUUUUCUACUUCGCAAUCCCUUUGGGCAGCGGUUUAGGGUACAUCACUGGAUCAAGCGUCAAGCAAGUAGCUGGUGACUGGCACUGGGCCCUUCGGGUCUCCCCGCUUUUAGGUAUGAUCACUGGCACACUCAUCUUAAUAUUUGUUCCAGCUGCUAAGAGGGGCAACGCUGAGCAGCUGGGGGCGCAGCUGAAGGCUCGGACCUCGUGGCUGAGGGACAUGAAGGCCUUGAUAAGGAACCGCAGCUACGUCUUUUCCUCUCUGGCUACCUCGGCUGUCUCCUUCGCCACGGGGGCCCUGGGCAUGUGGAUCCCCCUCUACCUCCACCGGGCACAAGUGGUCCAGAAAACCGCAGAGACCUGCACAUCUCAGCCCUGCGGGACCAAGGACAGCUUGAUCUUCGGAGCUAUCACUUGCUUCACUGGAUUUCUGGGCGUGAUCACCGGGGCCGGCGCAACCAAGUGGUGCCGUUUGAAGACGCAGCGAGCGGAUCCCCUCGUCUGCGCCGUCGGAAUGUUGGGUUCAGCCAUCUUUACUUGCCUGAUCUUCGUUGCGGCAAAGAGCAGCAUUGUGGGAGCCUAUGUCUGCAUUUUUAUCGGUGAGACACUCUUGUUUUCAAACUGGGCCAUCACUGCUGACAUACUCAUGUACGUGGUUAUUCCUACACGCCGGGCAACUGCAGUAGCUUUGCAAAGCUUCACCUCACACCUUCUGGGAGACGCUGGGAGCCCUUACCUGAUUGGAUUUAUCUCUGACCUGAUUCGCCAGAGCACAAAGGAAUCGCCGCUCUGGGAAUUCCUCAGCUUAGGCUACGCACUUAUGCUCUGCCCUUUCGUCGUCGUCCUGGGGGGGAUGUUUUUCCUAGCCACAGCCCUCUUCUUCCUGAGCGAUCGAGCCAAAGCAGAGCAACACACGGAUCUGGACCGCCUCGCCAUGGGCACCUCCAGUAACUCGGAAGACACAGCCACAUGACCGCUACAACUUGGGAGUAAAUCAACUCAUGAUGCCUCCAGCCUCUGUGAAAGUCUAAGGCGCUGACGUCCCGGAUGAUGAAGGAAAGCUUUUGUGAGCUCCGGCAGCCGCCGAACCCCAAAACGAGCACCUGCAGGAGACGCCCUCCCCCCUCCAAUCCACCCUUCCCGGAACAUGGAGCCGCGGGAAAUUCAUCCCGGGGAACCAAUUACGCAGCGACAUGGUGUUACUUCAGCCAGAGGAGAGGGGGAGUCCGUUGGAGCACAUCUCAACAGACGUGGAGUCCUAUGCUUUUGCGGUCUUGCGUAAAGAAGAGCUCCCGUCUUCCCUGCUCCAGAGGGAAGGGACCUUCCUGGCUGGCAUCUUUCCCAAAAAGAAGUCACUUGAAGGACCGGUGUACAGCUUUGCUUUCGGCUCCAUGAAGAUGGGUCAACGGCGAAGACUCCCUGCCCCAUUGAACACACUGCUGCUCUUGCCAUCCAUCUCUUGUCUCCAUCCAGAGGCGUCAUCCUAGUUGGAGAAGCAGAGCCUCAGCUUUGGGUUGUGAAAGCCAAGAUCCGUUUUGUAUUAUUGAAUCAUGGCAUAGGACACUUCCUGCAGGAGGUCAAAAAGAUUGGGCCGGAUGGGCACAUUCACAUAUAUACAUAUAUAUAUUUAAUUUAAAGGUGUUCUUUGCACUAGCAGGAAGCUGCUGGAGCUACCUCAAGGCCACUGCAGGGUUUGGUCUUGGCCAGGAAUUUGGUGUUUCAACUUUCUGCUGGGGAAUCCAAGCGUAAUUUCAAGCCCUUUGAGGGGUGGGGAGAAGCAAUAGAGAAAGAGGCGGUGUGGGCAGCUUUAGCCGAGAACGUUACCUACCUACUGAUGGUCCUCCGGGUCAGAAAUGAAGCUGCCCAGAGUGUCCGUUUCUUUAAAUGCAAGUGAAUGUGAGAUAGUUGCUGCUUUUGGGUCAAGGUUAGGUUGGAGAAGAACUGCUGUUUCCUGCUGGAGUCAAAUGCUAUGGGAGUAGGUUGAUGUUGGGGAACUCUUUGAGUAGGGCAGGCUGCGGUGGAGCCACAGUGAUCCCACCCAGAUCCCGAAAUCUCCAGUCUCUGCUGUUCCAAGAAAUCUGUGUGUUCAGAAAGAACCUGAUUGGCUCCCAGUAGCGCCUGUCAACUCACUCAGAUAAGCAGAAAGAACGUGAUUUCUACUGUGUUGGGUUUAACAUCAGCCAUCUCUUGUCAGUGAACAUGCACAUAUAGUCAGGAAUAUUGCCUCCCACCUCUAGCAAGGGCCAGGAGGGUAGUGACUCCUGUGGGGGUUCGAGGCUCUGCUGAAAGGUUGUAGCACCUUGGAAGACGAAAGGCCUGCCAAGUAAAGGGACCCCUGACCAUUAGGUCCAGUUGCGGACGACUCUGGGGUUGCGGCGCUCAUCUCGCUUUAUUGGCCGAGGGAGCUGGCGUUUGUCCGCAGACAGCUUCCGGGUCAUGUGGCCAGCAUGACUAAACUGCUUCUGGCGAACCAGAGCAGUGCACGGAAAUGCCGUUUACCUUCCCGCUGGAGUGGUACCUAUUUAUCUACUUGCACUUCGUGCUUUCGAACUGCUAGGUGGGCAGGAGCUGGGACUGAGCAACGGGAGCUCACCCCAUCACGGGGAUUCGAACCGCCGACCUUCUGAGUGGCAAGCCCUAGGCUCUGUGGUUUAACCCACAGCGCCACCCACGUCCCUAAGUUGCAUGGUACACGGUGCCAAUUCUCCACGACAGAUCCCUGAUAGAAGUGUCAGUCCCUUCAACUUCCUGUUGUUGGCGCGACCAGCUUUCUGCAGCCGAGUGGGGUGGUGGAGACAAGCAAGCUAACUCCACA